UACGGGGGGGGCAAGCGUUGUUCGGAAUUACUGGGCGUAAAGGGCUCGUAGGCGGCCAACUAAGUCGGAUGUGAAAUCCCCAGGCUUAACCUGGGAACUGCAUCCGAUACUGGAUGGCUUGAAUCCGGGAGAGGGAUGCAGAAUUCCAGGUGUAGCGGUGAAAUGCGUAGAUAUCUGGAGGAAUACCGGUGGCGAAGGCCGCAUCCCGGACCGGCAUUGACGCUGAGUGAGCGAAAGCCAGGGGAGCAAACGGG
rnacentral:rRNA from 1 species